AAAGUCACCUGCUUUUUGCUGGGUUUCAGUUUCUGUACAGUGUAUUCUUAUACAGCACACAUUAAAACAAAUUACACAAGAAAUUGUAGGGCAAUAGGAGAUUACUAAAUGACAUAGGAUUGGGAUGCCAGAAGACAUUCAGGGUUUGUGGUUAAAGAUAUCUGCUAGGUAAUCAAAGUUGUGUCCUGGAUAAUUGGAUAAUUGCAUACAGCUGGAAAGCCUGGGUGUUUUCAGUGAGAGCUGCACAUGCUGCUCCUAUGACUCCCCACUGUUCUGAGCACAGUGGGGCAGAAAGCAGUUGCCAACUUGAUGCAAGCAUGAAAAGUAGUGUCUGGAGGGUUUUAUCCCUGGAGAAGGCAGAUCCCCUUGGCAUGGGUCUAAGUCAGGCCUCUGUCAACGAAGUAUAAGCAUUUCCCAGAAGAGCUGAUCAGGGAUUUUCCAACAAACAUCUUCAGAAAAUAUCAUUUGACUACAGCUUUCAACAGCAGCACAAAAGGUUUUAGAUUACAGCCCUUGCCAGAAAAGGUCUUCCCCUGUUCCACUGGGAAAUUUCUGGUCAAAAGGAGGGAGUGGAGUCAUUUGCUAGUGAACCUCCCUGUGUCCUAGUAAUGCUCUAUCUGUGGGCACUGUGGACAUAAAGAAUGGCUUUUCAUGUUCACUGUCUCGCAAAGACUGCAGAAUAAGACCUUUCUGUGUAUGUCCUGUAGAUCUGUAUCAAAGCCAAUUGAUACGGCAUUUGAGAGCCCUGAAUUCACAGUUUCAUAUUGCAUGGCUCUCCUAAUUUUUGAAGAAUGAUACCAUUCUUCAAAAUGAGCGAAAGUCAUUUGCUGGGAGCUUUGUUUUUUGUGCUUGUCUGAUUGUUUUUUUUGUUGCGGGUAUUUGGGAUGGACAACACCCAGAUACGUGCAGUAUUAGGAUGUGAGUGUGACACUUUCUGUCAUCAGUAGAAUGGUGGGCUAUGCUUUGUCCUGUAAUAAUAAAGCAGCAUUUUAGUAAUAUUUUAUUUAUUUC
rnacentral:lncRNA from 1 species